AUAGGAGACAAGAAGGCAUCUUUUUGUUUUUAAAAGACCUAGCAAUAGGUAUGCUUAGGGAGGAGCUUGCGUCACAUUAGUUAGUUGGUGGGGUAAAGGCUUACCAAGACUAUGAUGUGUAGCCGGGCUGAGAGGUUGAACGGCCACAUUGGGACUGAGACACGGCCCAAACUCCUACGGGGGGCAGCAGUAGGGAAUUUUCGGCAAUGGAGGAAACUCUGACCGAGCAACGCCGCGUGAACGAUGAAGUAUUUCGGUACGUAAAGUUCUUUUAUUAGGGAAGAAUAAAUGAUGGAAAAAUCAUUCUGACGGUACCUAAUGAAUAAGCCCCGGCUAACUAUGUGCCAGCAGCCGCGGUAAUACAUAGGGGGCAAGCGUUAUCUGGAAUUAUUGGGCGUAAAGGGUGCGUAGGCGGUUAAAUAAGUUUAUGGUCUAAGUGCAAUGCUUAACAUUGUGAUGCUAUAAAAACUGUUUAGCUAGAGUAAGAUAGAGGCAAGUGGAAUUCCAUGUGUAGUGGUAAAAUGCGUAAAUAUAUGGAGGAACACCAGUAGCGAAGGCGGCUUGCUGGGUCUUUACUGACGCUGAGGCACGAAAGCGUGGGGAGCAAACAGGAUUAGAUACCCUGGUAGUCCACGCCGUAAACGAUGAGUACUAAAUGUUGGGUAAAACCAGUGUUGAAGUUAACACAUUAAGUACUCCGCCUGAGUAGUACGUACGCAAGUAUGAAACUUAAAGGAAUUGACGGGACUCCGCACAAGCGGUGGAUCAUGUUGUUUAAUUCGAAGGUACCCGAAAAACCUCACCAGGUCUUGACAUGCUUCUGCAAAGCUGUAGAAACACAGUGGAGGUUAUCAGUUGCACAGGUGGUGCAUGGUUGUCGUCAGCUCGUGUCGUGAGAUGUUGGGUUAAGUCCCGCAACGAGCGCAACCCUUAUUGUUAGUUGCCAGCACGUAAUGGUGGGGACUUUAGCAAGACUGCCAGUGAUAAAUUGGAGGAAGGUGGGGACGACGUCAAAUCAUCAUGCCCCUUAUGACCUGGGCUACAAACGUGAUACAAUGGCUGUUACAAAGGGUAGCUGAAACGCAAGUUUUUGGCGAAUCUCAAAAAAACAGUCUCAGUUCGGAUUGAAGUCUGCAACUCGACUUCAUGAAGUUGGAAUCGCUAGUAAUCGCGAAUCAGCAUGUCGCGGUGAAUACGUUC
rnacentral:rRNA from 1 species